rnacentral:rRNA from 1 species
GAUGAACGCUAGCGGCAGGCUUAACACAUGCAAGUCGAGGGGUAACAGAGUAGCUUGCUACUGCUGACGACCGGCGCACGGGUGCGUAACGCGUAUACAACUUGCCUUAUACAGGAGAAUAGCCCAGAGAAAUUUGGAUUAAUGCUCCAUAGUAUUAUUUUCUCGCAUGAGGAAUUAAUUAAAGCUCCGGCGGUAUAAGAUAGGUAUGCGUUAGAUUAGCUAGUUGGUAAGGUAAUGGCUUACCAAGGCAACGAUCUAUAGGGGGCCUGAGAGGGUGAUCCCCCACACUGGUACUGAGACACGGACCAGACUCCUACGGGAGGCAGCAGUGAGGAAUAUUGGUCAAUGGACGUAAGUCUGAACCAGCCAUGCCGCGUGCAGGAAGACGGCCUUAUGGGUUGUAAACUGCUUUUAUAUAGGAAGAAACUUAUCUACGUGUAGAUAACUGACGGUACUAUAAGAAUAAGGACCGGCUAACUCCG